GCUAACUACUACUGUAAGUCGCUCUGGAUAAGAGCGUCUGCUAAAUUACGUAUA
rfam:Salmo salar isolate Sally breed double haploid chromosome ssa06, whole genome shotgun sequence.